CAAAAUUUGCAGGCCUGUGACACUCGUAGGUUUCUCACUUGGUGCAAGAGUUAUUUUCAGCUGCUUCAGAUUUUGCCUGAAAGUGAAAAUAGUGGUAACACAUUAAGCUGACCCACUAAUCUAUGGCACAGUUUAUUUGCUCCAUCCUAAAAUUAAAGACUAGAAAAAGUUAUAAAGAAAGGUGAAACAUAUUCAUCGAUUUAUAUUUUUUUAAUGUGCCACAUGCUCAUUUACAAUACGCCAAAUUAGACAAGAUGGUAGAUACACUUAAGAGUGUAUCUAUGUUUGGCAUGGUAUGUGUCCCUUAUUUGAUCUAUCAAUAGUCUAUCAUUUAUGCUUAAAACAAGCAUCUAUUGUUUCAUUCUUUGAGCAAUGCUGCUUGUACAGGCCACACACAAUACAGAGGGGUGGCUAAUUUCAUUUUUUUUAAAAUAAUCCCCCACCCAACAUGUGAGGGGCCUAUACAGCAGGCAAUUUCCUCCUCAGAAAUGGUUCACAUUCCAUCUAACUGAUGCGGGUAAAGGUGUUUCCAAUUUUCCACUCAAAUCACUAACAUCCCAUCUAAGUACAAAGACCUUAAUGUAAAGGCUUUAGUGCCAAUGUCAGCCAUCUAACACUUUGAACAAAAGAAUGAGGAAAUUGCCUAUUGUUCACAGGGGACAAAUCUCUCACAUGCUGGGUGGGGGAUUAUUUAAAAAAAAAAAAAAAAUUAUCCACCCCCCUGUUUUCACAGGGCCUGUACAGGUAGCACUACUCUUCUGAGGAUUGGAUAACUAGAACCUGCCGGCAUGGACUAACACACUUAAGAAUUAUUAGAGAAGUACUGUACCAGUACUGUGCAGUUCCUUCAACAAGCUACCAUAAACAUAGAACGGGUGAUGGCUCGAAGUUUUUUGAUAGAAUGACAUGCUAUGAUUGAUCUAUUUCUGCCGUUUAAUUACAAUUUAGUACAUGACAUGGGAUUUUACCUUAUUACCUAAUUGCUAGCUUUGUACUUAAAUAUCUCAUAGUUUUGUCUCUCAAUGUUAAAACUUCAAACCUGAGUAUAAGCUAAACAAAAAAGUACCUCCAGAUUUAAGAAUCCAAACAAAUGAUUCUGGAAAUUUCUACAGGAUGGAUAUCAAUUCUAUCUGCAUUGCAAAUUUAACUUCUUUUCAUAUAUGAUCCUGGGUCCUAUUAUUCUGAUGACUUAUAAUAAACAACAUUCCUUCCAAUCCCACCCCCCAGUUGAAGGUUUCAAAUAGUAAAUCAUGCCCUUUUAGACAACUUAGAUUUUAGAUAAAAUGUUGAUUCAGUAUGGCCUUAGAAUAGGCACAUGUCAUAGUAUUAAGAUUUACGGACUCCCAUUGCUAAUAGUUAAUUAAUAAAAUCAUGUGCUAAGCCUUUGAGAAAAAUAAACGUUGCCCGGAUGUCGUCGUCCUUCAAACAACUUGACUUUUUAGGUGGGAACUCGACCUCCAAAAGAAAAUCUCUUUUAAGUUCUGUAUUAUAAAAUACUGAUUCACUCCCCUAUUUUUUGUCAGCUGGACUUGUGGAAAGAGUUGUUCUACUUGGAGCACCCAUUGCAAUUAAAGAAAUGAACUGGGAAGCUACUCGGCAGGGAUUGUUGCUUUACCUUCUGCAUUCAUAUUCACAAAUAUUGAUAUUGUAUCAAUAAUAGGCACAUAUGCAUCAGUUACUGUUAUUGCAUAUGUUUAACAUUCUCUAUUAUGCAGGUGGUGGCUGGAAGGUUUGUGAAUGCAUAUUCUACCAACGAUUGGAUACUUGGAAUUGCGUUUCGUGCCAAGUAUGCAAGUCUUAAAUCUACUGUGAAAAUAUUAGGAUUGUGAAAUUGAUAGGUAGAUCACAUCUUGCUUUUGAAGUUGAGAUUUGUGCCUAACUGUGUCAAUAGAAGUAUCAAAACAAAAGAAGAAGUGAAUUUUUUUUGUCCAUUCUUUUGCUUAUUGAUUUUCGAUGUUGCCCUUUGCCUAUAACAGUCUUCUGACACUAGGAUUGGCAGGAAUUCAACCAGUGGAAGUGCCUGGAAUUGAAAAUGUAAAUAUUAUUCGUAAUGCUGGUCAACAUAGCGUAACAUAUGUUUGGGAUUUCAACCUUUAUCUCUCCAUUGUUUUUGACAGGUUAACGUAACUAGCAUAAUUGAUGGUCACUCUUUUAUCUUUGGAAUGCCCAGGAAAUCCUAGAACAGCUCGAACCGAUUUUCAGUCCUCCCCCUGUCAAAACAUAGUUUGUACUGAAAUUCUGGCAUAGAGUGCAAUUGCAUCAGAGGCUUUGUUCUUGUCGGAAAUGGAGGUUUGGAUCUAAUUUUAAGUGUUACCGUAGUCGGCUUGUGUAUUCUUGAACCGAGGAUAUUUCAUUAGUUACUGCUUGGUACUUCUAUAAAUUUCAUUUUAUCCUCAUUCUUUGCGCAAUAUGAAUCAUAAGAAUUGAACAAAUGAAACAGGUAAACAGGUGGUAAUAUUGAAGAUCUGUACUUGCUCGUGUUACUGAGGAGAUGAAGAGUGGCUAUAAAAGUGCAAAACAAAUGCUGGAGUUCCCAUACGAGAAAUUAAGUAGAUGCCAUAUUUUUGGAACUGAUACAAAUCAACAUUGCCAAGAAUGUAGAAUGUAAAAUGAAUAAUGUUAAUUUACAUAAACAUAAAAUGUCACAACAUGUAGAACUUUUAGCUUCAAUGAUACUAUAGUAUACUUUUCUACACUAACAUGAAAGUAUUUUGCACAUUGUUCUGAG
rnacentral:lncRNA from 1 species